rnacentral:rRNA from 1 species
UACGUAGGGUGCGAGCGUUAAUCGGAAUUACUGGGCGUAAAGCGUGCGCAGGCGGCGCGUUAAGACAGGUGUGAAAGCCCCGAGCUUAACUUGGGAAUUGCGCUUGUGACUGGCGAGCUGGAGUGUGGCAGAGGGAGGUGGAAUUCCACGUGUAGCAGUGAAAUGCGUAGAUAUGUGGAGGAACACCGAUGGCGAAGGCGGUUUCCUGGACAGUUACUGACGCUCAGGCACGAAAGCAUGGGGAGCAAAAGGG